rnacentral:rRNA from 1 species
UACGUAGGUGGCGAGCGUUGUCCGGAUUUACUGGGCGUAAAGGGCGCGUAGGCGGCGUGGUAAGUCAGCUGUGAAAUCUCCGAGCUUAACUCGGAACGGUCAGCUGAUACUGCUGUGCUAGAGUACAGAAAGGGCAAUCGGAAUUCUUGGUGUAGCGGUGAAAUGCGUAGAUAUCAAGAGGAACACCUGAGGCGAAGGCGGGUUGCUAGGCUGAUACUGACGCUGAGGCGCGAAAGCUAGGGUAGCAAACGGG